CAGAGCUGCGGCCCUUUUGGAACUGAGUUUGACACCUGUGCUCUAGAGCCUUAUGGUGCGCCAACCCUGCUGCUCACCGCAGGUUGCUUAGCACACAGGCAGGCCUGAUGUUUACAGUGGGGGGUUACCCAUAACCUUUGGGCCCACGGACGCCUUACUCCAAAUUGCUGAUUCUCAUUUCUCUUUUCAGAGAUUCUGGCAGCUGGCUCCAGAAGCGGACCCUCAUUCAACACCUGUCCCUCAUUAUUUAGAAAUGAUAUUGCCAUAAACCACCCCUUAUAUCACCUCUGCGAGACUUCUAAACCCCUCAUUUACUACUUUUUGGAGAUCCAUUUCUAAACAGGUAAACACCGUUUUAAAGAAUGAUGUGGGGAGCGUGUCAAGACUGCAGGUUGAUGUCUACCAAAAGAUAUUGGGGACAGUCCAGAUUUUUUUUCACCAAAUUUUGUCUACUUAUUCCAUUUUGAAACAACAUGAGGAUCGGACACACAUUCAUUAAGAAAAAGGUGACACAUAUUUUUGUUAUUGUUCAAUGUUUUGAACAAUUUUCCUGUAAAUAAGUAGAAUUUUAGAUGCAGCCCAUACUGCUGCCCAAUGUAUAUUUUAGGAGAUAAGGAUGAUUAUACUGAGAGUAUAAUUUACUGUAUCGUGAUGCACUGUAUCAGUCAUAUCAGGAAGGCAGCCACCACUUUCUGGCAGCAAUUUCUGACAGAUGCAAACCACUUCUUUCUUCUGCUUAUCAAUGUUUUCCAUUUUCUCUUCAGUCCCCAAGUAAUCAUGACAGCUGUCAAUGAGGACAUUGCAAGCAGCUGCAGAGGCAACAGAGAUAAGAUUAUCUGACGUUUCUGAGUAAAUCAUUAGUUCUUUCUUUUUCAUUACAGAAUUAUUCCUAUUAUCCCUAUAUAUUAUUCUGUUAUUUCAUUACCGAAUUCACCAAAUGGCCAGGGGUACCAGAUCCUCUGGAAGUCUUCGAAUGGCCAGGGGUGCCAGAUCCUCUUGAAUUCCACGAAAGGCCAGAGCCACCACCCGAGUCCCACGUAAGGCCAGAGCCACCACCUGAGUCCCACGAAUGACUGCCAGAGCCGUGUGACUUCUCAAUGCUUUCUGCAACAUGCUCCAGGUCCUCCACAGCUCCAUGCUCCAGGGAGGCCUUCUCUGGCACAAUUUCAAGGAGGAUUAGAUGACAGAGGAAAACAGAGAGUUCCAACAGUAAUUAGACGAUGGUCUGUUACUGUAUGCAGUGAACAUGGGCAAGGUUUUUAUUCUUCCUCGUCUCCUGCGAGCACUGACCUACAAAGUGUGUGCCUUCCCCUCCCUGAACAUUAACCAGAGUUCAUCUGCUUCAAAUUCUCAUCACUUUUGCCAUGUUUGAGGGUCAGUGAAUUAUCAGAGGGAGGUUAGGAAGGGAAAAGAAGUACAUCAGCACCCACAUAUAAAGGAAUAUAUGGAAAGGUGAGGGAGUAGAACAAGAAGUGUCAAGCAUUGUGUCUGAAAGAUUGAAACACACCAACUUUGAUUUAUAUUAAUGAAAUACUUUUUUAAAAUAUGUUUGUUAUUUUGUAUUAACAUCCUGUCACUAUCCUGUCUUUCAAAUCAAUUUAAAAGGGCAGUUGUAAUUGAUCUGUUCAAAAAUAUAUGUAUUUUGUUUUUUCUAAA